rnacentral:lncRNA from 1 species
UUUUCUUUUCCUGUUCCUUUUGCUUUCCUUCGCUUUUGCACAUUUGCUUUGAAACUUUGCUUCCCAUUACCCCCUGACUCGAUCAUACUCAAAUCAAUGCGUUCAUCCAUUCGCAACUUCCCUUAAUUAUUCUCCAAACAUAAAAUCAAUAGCUCGUUGGGCAGUGUCAUCUUUGGAUCUCGUAGAAGAACAGGAAUCAUCCAAUGGGUAACAAGGGUUAUGCUUAUCACUCCCUUCUGGUAAGCAUGAUAUUUUUUUCUAUAAAACUUCCUUUUUUUUUUUUUCGGUAAAACUUCAUUGCUGAUGCGUGCGAGAGAAGCUGAUGGCACCAACAUACUCCUCAGUACCAGCGUGCAGUACAGUUUUGGUCGGAGUGGCAGCAGCGCCCAGGUGAUCGAGUUUUUCGUUACUUGACAUUGUCAGAUGAUCAAUGCUCUGGUGAUCGAGUUUUUCGUUACUCGAUCAUGUUUGAUGUUCGAGUUCUCUGUUACUUGAUCAUGUUUGUUAUGGUCUGCGAGUUGCUGAAUCUGUUUCGGAACCACACUAGGUUAUGUUGGUUCUUCCAAGUGUCAUUUUGUUUUUUCAAGUGUCAUUUUGUUUUUUCAGUUGUCUCGACUAUUUUUCUUGUCUCCGAUGAAGAUCUGGAGUUUUUUUGUCUGUUCUUGCAGCCAUUUAUUGUUCCUGAGGCCUUUUGCCGUUCCUGAGGCUUGUUGAUAUGCCACUGCUUUUUGUGCUUGUUGUUUAAGCAACCUGAGCAUGAGACCACUGCUUCUAUCGGUCACGCCAUGCAGCCGUUUGCUGAUCCCGAUGCUACUUCUAUCGGUCACGUUAUGCAGCUGUAUGUUGAUCACGAGGCUGCUUCUAUCGGUCACGCCAUGCAACCAUCUGUUGUUCUUGAGACUUGUUGAUCCGCCACUGCUUUUUGUGCUUGUUGUUCAGAAAAUCUGUGCUUGUUGUUCAAGCAAUCUGAGCAUGGAGAUCACUGCUUCUAUCGGUCACACUUGAAGACUAAAGAUCCAACUCAUUCGUUUAUGCAACUUAUUGUUCAAACUCCAGCUACUUUGUGUCAAAGCAUUUUGAGUUUUAGGGGGUACGUUAGUAUAUGGAUAUCUAUGAUGUUACUAUUGAUAUACAUCAUUAGUGAUACAUAUAAGUAUGGAUAUGUAUUUGGGUAUAUAUCUCUUGAUAAGAUUAGGC